rnacentral:rRNA from 1 species
AGUAAAUAGAUACCCGGGUAGUCCACGCCCUAAACGAUGCAGACUAGAUUGCAGCGGGUUACACCCGUUGCGGUCGGAGCGAAAAUUGUUAAGUCUGCCACCUGGGAAGUACGGUCGCAAGGCUAAAACUCAAAGGAAUUGACGGGGGCUCACACAAGCGGUGGAGCAUGUGGCUCAAUUCGAAGCAACGCGAAGAACCUUAUCCUGGACUUGACAUGGUAGAAGUAAGAAGCGGAAACGCUUAUGACCGGUAUCCAAUCCGGAACUAUCACAGGUGCUGCAUGGCUGUCGUCAGCUCGUGCUGUGAAGUGUCGGGUUAAGUCCCAUAACGAGCGAAACCCCUAUCGUUAGUUGCCAGCGAGUCAAGUCGGGCACUCUAACGAGACUGCCGGUGUUAAACCGGAGGAAGGCGGGGAUGACGUCAAGUCCUCAUGGCCUUUAUGUCCAGGGCUGCACACGUGCUACAAUGCCGAUGACAAACCGAAGCAAGACCGCAAGGUGGAGCAAAUCGGAGAAAAACUCGGCCCAGUUCAGAUU